rnacentral:lncRNA from 1 species
GGGAAAGAGUGUACAAUUAGUAGAAGAAGAGUUUUUUUCCCUUCUCUUUGCUCAUUGGCUUAAAAUUGUCAGCUGCCAUAAAGUCUGGUUUAAAGGUCUUGAAGACAAUUUAUGUACUAGUUUUACAGUGUAUUGUAAUAAUAGAUCAACUUCGACUAAAAAGUUUCCUGGCUUAUCUCCAAAGAAAAUGUUUCAUUUUCCAAAAGGCAUCAAUCGAAAGAAGUUGUAGAUCAAUGCCAUCAAACGUGCGAAGGACUCCCACCAAAAAAUCAAGAGUUUACCAAGUAAUAUAAUCAACUAUUUUUCACCAUGGUCACUUUGAAGAAUCAAUGUUUCCCGCAGAAGUCUCCAAAAGGACUGUGGUGUUUGGUACAUAAUGCAAUUCCUACUUUAUUUGAACAUUCUAAGAUAAAAAACAACGAAAACGCCCGUUUAACCGAAAAAAAAGAAGAAGGUGGAAGUAUUUGCAAAAACAUGU